GAUGAACGCUGGCGGCGUGCCUAAUACAUGCAAGUCGAGCGAACGGACGCGAAGCUUGCUUCGUUGAUGUUAGCGGCGCACGGGUGUGUAACACGUGGAAACCCUACCUAUAAGACUGGGAUAACUUCGGGAAACCGGAGCUAAUCCCGGAUGAUAUUUUGAACCGCGUGGGUCAAAAGUGAAAGUCGGUCUUGCUGUCACUUAUAGAUGGAUCCGCGCUGCAUUAGCUAGUUGGUAGGGUAAUGGCUUACCACGGCAACGAGGCAUAGCCGACGUGAGAGAGGGAUAGCCCGCAUGGGAGCGGAACCACGGACCAGGGGCCUACGGGAGGCAGCAGUAGGGAAUGGUCCGCAAUAGGGGAAAAUCUGGCGGAGUAAGGGCGAGCGUGAGGUGACAACGUUGCGUGCGUGAAACUGUGUUACGAGGGAAGAACAUCUGUGGAAUGAGCUGUGCAGAUAGUGACGGUAACGGGUAAGAAAGCAACGGCUAACUACGUG
rnacentral:rRNA from 1 species